AGAAAAAUGCUAGCCUGAGACUUCCGGGGACAAGUCUCAGGAUCCACAAGGGCUUACGGAAGUGGCAGGCAAGGCUUAGAGAUCAAGAGGAGUGUCAGGCUGCUGACGUUCCCUUCAAGGGGCCACAGGAGGAGUCCUUGGCUUGGCCUUGCCAGUGUGGGUGAGGGGGGUCCAACGCCACAAGCCAGAGGAGAAGAGAUUUAAUACUGAAGUUUCCAUCAGUGUCACCAAGAGAGCUGAUGGGGAGGCUUUCCAGGAGCAAUAAAAGAGGCAGAGAUGGGCCGGUGAGUCACCAUGUCCUCUGGCCAGGCCGUCAAGUAGCUGACCAGCUCAGAGGAGAGUGAGGCAGCGAACCCCGCUAGGACGCACCUCCCUGCUCCCCCGGACACGCGGCAGCUGUGGCUCAGCCAGCUCAAAGCCUCCAGCCCGUCCGUCCCGGUUUCAUCCGCGGGGUGGGGUGGACCGGCCCUCCCCUUCCCCAUACGCCCACAGCGAGCAUCGCACUGUGACGCUACCAACGCGGACACUGAACCAGAUGUUGCUUUUCAUGAGAGUAACGAUGGAAAACAGACGAUUGGAGAGAGAGGAGAAAGCGCCUCCACUUGAGCAACUCGUCUGUUGAAACUAAAUCUGCUUCAUAUAAAAUACCUGAGUAUUUGAGAGAAGACGAGAAGGAUUCGCAGCAACUGCACUGCGUCCACAGAGGAUUUCCUUUUCCAUUUCAGUUUAGGUGUUUGAUCAGGUGCUGCUGAUCCAGGAGAGCGAGGCCCGAGGCCCCCUCCCUGGCAUUUCAUGCACGCCCAGCUCUGGAGGCUGCAGGGAGGUUCAAAGAGUAAA